rnacentral:rRNA from 1 species
CGUCAAGUCAUCAUGGCCCUUAUGUCCAGGGCUACACACGUGCUACAAUGGCUGGUACAGAGUGAAGCGAAGCCGCGAGGCAAGAGCGAAACACGAAAGCCAGCCGUAGUUCGGAUUGAAGUCUGAAACCCGACUUCAUGAAGUUGGAAUCGCUAGUAAUCGCGCAUCAGCAUGGCGCGGUGAAUACGUUCCCGGGCCUU